rnacentral:rRNA from 1 species
AUUGAACGCUGGCGGCAUGCUUUACACAUGCAAGUCGAACGGUAACAGGCCGCAAGGUGCUGACGAGUGGCGAACGGGUGAGUAAUGCAUCGGAACGUGCCCCGUCGUGGGGGAUAACUACUCGAAAGAGUAGCUAAUACCGCAUACGAUCUAUGGAUGAAAGCGGGGGACCGUAAGGCCUCGCGCGAUUGGAGCGGCCGAUGUCAGAUUAGGUAGUUGGUGGGGUAAAGGCUCACCAAGCCAACGAUCUGUAGCUGGUCUGAGAGGACGACCAGCCACACUGGGACUGAGACACGGCCCAGACUCCUACGGGAGGCAGCAGUGGGGAAUUUUGGACAAUGGGCGCAAGCCUGAUCCAGCAAUGCCGCGUGCAGGAAGAAGGCCUUCGGGUUGUAAACUGCUUUUGUACGGAACGAAACGGCUCUGGUUAAUACCCGGGGCUAAUGACGGUACCGUAAGAAUAGGCACCGGCUAACUACGUG